AGUUAAUAUUUCGGGAAGUAUUAGGAAUUUUAAAAUAAUUUUUUUUUUAAACUUUCUAGGUUUUUCUAUUUUACAUUUUGUUACAAUUUUGAUAAUUUUAACUUCCUCCCUUAUUUGAUAAAACAGUAUCCACUUUCGAUUUUCAAAUGGCAAUACCUAUUUUCGAUAACGAAAAUCUAUAGGCAUACUGAAAAAAAUAAUUUUAACGUUUAUAGAAUUUAAUUUGAGAAAUCCGUUUAAGACUUAUUAAUGCUUUGAUAUUCGUUCAGUUUACUGCUACUGGGCAAUUUCUUAAACCCAACAGUAAAAACCAGAAGUCAAAACGAAAUUUUAUCUCAAUUUCACAAUACCCAUAACGGUCAUAAUCGAUAAUAACAAGAUUGAUAAACAAUAAUAUUAGAUAAAAAAAAGUGUCCUAUCUUCACUCCCACCUGAACACCGGCUACCGAGUGUCACUGAACGACUAGCCAGCAUUGCUGCUGCGCGGCUGUAUGCCUGUAUCAGCUAUAAAGUAUAAAAAUAACAUUUUACAAUUUACCAUUAUGGUUACACAAUAAAGCACUGGUUACUGAUUCCUGGUAUACGGUCUUAUCACGUAUUAGUAGAUAAACGAUAAUAAAUGCCGGCAUUCCGGCAAACUGUUUAUGAAAACAUGUGGUUUUUGAUUAAUGUUAUUUUCCCAUUAUCAAAUAUGGAAUAUUAAUCAUUAAUUAAUUAAGUACUAUUCUUUAAAUGUUUAACCAAAGAAUACGUUUUAAACAAAUACUAAAUUAUAUGUAUUAUUUAAAAUAUAAAUUUAAAGUUUGCGCCAAUUAUUCCAAUGCAUACAGCAUACAUAUUAUAUUUUUUGAUAGUGUUUUAAUGUUGUAAUUUGGUUAAUAAAUUUGAAUUUAAUUAAAAAUAUACUUCUGUCCAAUCAGCAAUAUUAUUAUGUAUAUGGGAAUCAGAUUUCAUACUUUGCCGACAACUUUAUUUGUAUAAUUUAUUGUGGCAAUAAGUAGAGUUUAUAUAAUUAAUCAAAAAAUACAGUGAACUAUAUGACUAGGCAGCUCAAUUUGACCAGCAAUUAAUGCAAAUUUACAUUGCUUACUGUCUACUGGUAUCUGAUGACUAUAAAAGAAUAAAAUAUCCAUAUUUCUUUACAUAUUAUAUUUUAAUCUUUAAACAAGCUAAAUAAUUUAUUAUAAAAUUAAUUUUAUUUUAUUUCAAAUUUCAACUGCAAUUAGUAGUACUAACUUUUAAUUCAAAUAUCUAUAACAACAUUGGAUGAACAAUUACAAUUCGUAAUUUUGGUUAGUCACAGCAAUGUACAUCUCAGCUGAUAACUUCAUAAUUGCAUUCAGAUAAAAAAAAAAACAGCGCAGCAUCAAGACCAACUAUUUCUACAUAUGUAAAAUUUUUUGAUUGUUAUAUGAUUAGUUAAUUGUAUGUUUAAAUAAUUAGUUUAAGUUAUUGAUUUACUAUUUUCCAUAAUUAGGGCUAUGGAGUUUUUAUUAACCUAAAUUGGCAAAUUAAAAUUUUUUUUAAUAUGAUAGUGUCAUUUUUAUGCAAUAUUAAAAGAUUUUUUUUUAUUAAGAAAGAAUAUUUACAAUCUGUACACAAUAAUUACAAUAAGCAAAUUAGAUAAAAAAAAAAAGAAUAAACUAUAAAGUAACAUGAAUAUCGUGUUGAGGAAGAAAGAUUUUUAUAGCAUAAAAUAUUAAUUAAAAAUUAACAUAAUUUCAAAAAAAAGUGUAAAAAUUAAUAAUUUUUUAAAACAUCCAUAGCCCUAAAAAUAUGUUGUAAUCUAGAAUAGAUAUUAUAAAGUAUGUUUAAUGUUCAUUUAAUUUUUAUUAAUUUAUCUAGGGUAGUGGACAUGUUAAGUGUUAAUAUUUUUUAUUAGGUAUGACCUUACCCAAAUUCUGCAAAAAUUUGCACUACGGAAAUUUGUUCAUACUCUAGUAAAAUUAUUGAUAACUAAUGUGUUUAUUGCCUUCGAUAAUUUAAUAUUGAAUUAGUGUCCAUUAUUAAUUGGUCUAUUCACACACGAGAUAGUUUUAAAAAUGCAAAUUAUACAUUAUACAAAAAAUAUAUCACACUAUCACAGAAUACCUAAUAUUUAUAAAUGGAAAAUCAGGUAGGUACUAUGAACAACAAGCUUUGGGCCUAUAGCCUCGCAUCAGAUUAACAAUACAGGACUCACUUCCUUGAUGCACAAAACAUUGUCAGUCUAAUGUAGGUUAUUUUUUGUAUCACUUGAUUUGUGUAAUCAAAAUGACUUACCUAUUCUAUUUUUUUUUUUUUUUUUAAUAUACACAGAUUGAUUUGUAAUUAUCUAUUUUUAACGAAAUAAAAACUUUAAAUAAUAGGGACAUUGUAAAAAUGUAUAACUAAAAAAAAAAAGAAAUGUGUGAAUAGACCUUUAACUACUUUAGUUUUGUCUCUAAAUCCUGAAUCCAAGUACAUACAUUUUACAUUAAUUGUAUCUGUAUUUAUGAAUUAUUUUUCUAAAUACAUAGAAAUUGUUGAUUUACUUUGUUUUAAAAUGAAUAAAUGUUUUCUGAUUAUUAUAAUCAUUUACUAUACUACCUAUACACCAUAUUGUUUUAAAAAAAUAUUUAUUUUGU